UAGGGAAUCUUGGACAAUGGGCGAAAGCCUGAUCCAGCCAUGCCGCGUGAGUGAUGAAGGCCUUAGGGUUGUAAAGCUCUUUCGCCAGGGAAGAUAAUGACGGUACCUGGAUAAGAAGCCCCGGCAAACUUCGUGCCAGCAGCCGCGGUAAUACGAAGGGGGCUAGCGUUGUUCGGAAUUACUGGGCGUAAAGCGCACGUAGGCGGCUUUCCAAGUUGGAGGUGAAAUCCCCGGGCUUAACUCGGGAACUGCCUCCAAAAACUGGACGGCUCGAGUCCGAGAGAGGUGAGUGGAAUUUCCAGUGUAGAGGUGAAAUUCGUAGAUAUUGGAAAGAACACCAGUGGCGAAGGCGGCUCACUGGCUCGGUACUGACGCUGAGGUGCGACAGCGUGGGGAGCAAACAGGAUUAGAUACCCUGGUAGUCCACGCCGUAAACGAUGGGUGCUAGUUGUCAGGCAGCUUGCUGUUUGGUGACGCAGCUAACGCAUUAAGCACCCCGCCUGGGGAGUACGGUCGCAAGAUUAAAACUCAAAGGAAUUGACGGGGUCAUA
rnacentral:rRNA from 1 species